GCCAAGUCCAUAAUUAAGUGGGGGAAAAAAGAUAAUAGAACUAAACCCACAGAUGAUCCAGCCAUUGAUGCUAAUAAAAAGGAAAACCAAUUGACAAAAUCAAUAUCUAUUAGACUAAGUCUAAUUUGAAUAUUUUUAUCCCUUACAUAAACACUAAAAGAGUAGUAGAAUAAUGUAUAACCAAUAGGUCAAUAGAAGAAAACAUUGGAAGGAUAAAAAUGUUUAGAUAUUCCAAUAGAUAAAAAAGGAGGAGAAAUAGAACUAAAUUUAUGGGCCAAAUAGAAAACAUAUUAAGAUGGUAGAUAUACACCCAAUUAUAUCAAGUUAUAUCAGUUCAUCACCAAGGCCUAACUAUUUUAUGUGCUAUAUUCUCCUGUGGCCUCUUCUCUAUUCCCACUACUACAGCCCAAAUUCAAAUUUACGGUAACCUAUUACCUGGAGUAUUUCAAUAAAUCCCUAACAAUUUUCCUUAUUUCUGCUAUGGCCUCCUUCAAUCCAUCCUCCUUAGAUUUUUUUUUUUUUUGAUUUUGUGCAUGCCCUUCUUCUGCCUAAAAUGUCUCAGUGGCUCCCAUUAACUUACGAAAGACAUCACAAAAUGAGUAUUUGCUGAAGAGUCAGCCUCCUGGAAAAAAUAAGAGGAUGCAAUGGCUCCACCUGGUGGCAGCAUGAAGAGCUGCCUUGAGACCAGCCAGGAAGUGGAGAAUGUUCCUAGUUUUUAUUCUUGCCUUCCUCUUCCAGGAGAUCAUGAUUACCUGCCUUGAAGAAGGUUGGACCUGAACUUCUCCUUACAGGCAAAGAGUGAGGACACUUUUGUUCCCAAGGAAGAAAGGGGAAGCCCCAUAUUGUGGUUUGGGAACUGCAGAUAUUGGGAAGGGCUUACACAACCUGAAGGAACUGCCGGCAUCUGGACUGGACAGCUGUGGCCAAGAGCACUCACCCCGCCAGCCACAUUCCUCGGAGUGGGAGCUUCAGGGAGGUUCUGUGGGGAAGACAAGCAGCAUGUCCCCGUGGCCAUGGGCCUCGGCCUCCUGGGAGCUUCCCGAGGCAUCAGCCGCUCAGGUCCUCUGUGGCCUCAAGCCUCUCCCCCCUGCCACUGGAUCCAUUGGAGCAGCUUUCACAGCUUUCCUUGAACAAACCUCCAGAUCCUGAGCUGUUCCAGCCUGACAGGCCGCAGAAGAUGACAAAGGGGGAGCACA
rnacentral:lncRNA from 12 species